GCCAGGCGCGGUGGCGGGCGCCUGUAAUCCCAGCUACUCUGGAGGCUGAGGCAGGAGAAUUGCUUGAACCUGGGAGGCGGAGGUUGCAGUGAGCUGAGAUUGUGCCACUGUACUCCAGCCUGGGUGACAGAGUAAGACUCUGUCUCCA
rnacentral:sRNA from 1 species